rnacentral:lncRNA from 1 species
GGGGGAUGAAGGACGCCACCGAGGAAGCAGCCCCCACCGGGCUCCCGAGGCUGCCAGGCCCCCAGCUGAGGGCGCUGCCUGCAGAACCAAGUCCCCCUGUCCCUGUGCUAAGAGGGUAACGCGAGUGCCCGAAGCCCUGGCCUGGUUACCAUUCGCGACUCCCUCGUCCUGGGUUCUCCCAUUGCCAGGAAUGUUUUACUAGUAACCAUGGUAUAGUUGAGACGAUCCACUCUUGUCCUACGCAUUUCGGCACAAUACAGGCGUCUAGGAGGCUUACCUGGCAUUGCCUGAGAGAAUCUUCCAUCCAUUUAAGUACCCAGUAACAGAGGGAGCAAAGCAAAUCUUGUCCUCAAAGAACUGCAGCUGCUUGUUAGAUCUACCUGGUGGUUCCAUAGAGAAACUCCUCAGAGAACCUGCCUUUACCUCGCCUAAAAUAGAACUAUCCCGGAGCUCAGUUCAUCAACUCAGGAUCCAGUAGUGUAAUACAGAAGCCUGUUACAAGAUAUAAGGCACUUCACCCUCGGAAAUCUCACUGUCAGAAUCCUUGGAAAUCACACCACGCACAACUUCUAUUUCUUCCUAAUUUGCAAAGAACCAGUGUGACUCCAGUCAAGAACAAAAGAUUAAUUGUGAAUUAGCAAAGAACUCUAAUUUUUUCAAGAGGCCACAUGGAAAACGCAUUCUAAUGAAGUCCUUUCCAUUGCUCUUUUUUCUUAGUUCUUCAAUAAAGCAUGAGAUUUGAUCACAAA